rnacentral:misc_RNA from 1 species
GCAAACUUGGUCAUUUAGAGGAAGUAAAAGUCGUAACAAGGUUUCCGUAGGUGAACCUGCGGAAGGAUCAUUAACGAGUUAGGGUCUUCUAGGCCCGACCUCCCAACCCUUUGUUUACUAGACCUCUGUUGCUUCGGCGGACCCGUCUCAAACUGACCGCCGGAGGACCGCCCAACUGGGCGUUCCUUUGGCCAGUGUCCGCCGAUAGCCUCUUUCAUCCCAACUCUGGAAUAAUCGUGACAAUGCUGUCUAAGUGAAUUUAUUCAAUUAAAAAGCAAAAACUUUCAACAACGGAUCUCUUGGUUCUGGCAUCGAUGAAGAACGCAGC